ensembl:lncRNA
AUGCAGAGUUGGUGCUAAUGAAAGAACUAGACAGGGAGACAACCUUAGAAUUGCUGGUAGGACAAAAAUCGUCUCGGUGUAUGUUCACAAGCCACCGUUUUCUAAGGUCGACAUCUGCAGGAAAACUGUGAAAACUUAAAGUUCCGUUGAACUUUGUAGAAGAUGUACACAGCGGAACACAACAGUGUAUGCUGUAUACCUUCUGCUGUGUCUGAAAUCUAUAAACACACUUUUUUCUGAACAUUUUCUCCAAACGCCAAAAUAAUGGCCGACAACCGGAACUCAGCGAGCCCCACGGGCGUAAUUUCCUAUGGGGACAGGGGGGACAUGUCCCCCCAACUUUUCAAAAUCCCGGUCGUGUCCCCCCCACUUUCAAAUUAGUUUGUUAUUAUUUUUUUUAACCGCGCGCCGUCAUCGUCACGGAGGAGCAGGACCGAGCAAAACAGACAUCCUGCCUGUCUGUGUCGAUGCGCGCGUCCGCGUACGCGUACAGGCAGGGACGUCUCGUGCACACUCUAAAUAGUGUAAGCGCACUGAAAGUUCUACUGAGCAGCCGGUAUCGCAGUCAGUCAUGAAACGCCAGCAACAGAUGACUUUAAUGUCUUCAUGGAUGAAAAAAAAGAAAGGAGAUAGCACAGAUGAGGUGGAGCUGCUUCAGAACAGAGAGGGUGAGAUAGGGAAAAGCAGCAGCAGCACAACGUUACAGAGAACAGAUGAGGUGAAGCUGCUUAAAGACAGGGAGGGUGAGACAGGGAGAAGUAGCUCAGAGUUGCAGGUAUGUGCUGUGUAAAGGGUCAGGUAAUUAAUUUUAAUUAUGUCAUUUCAGAAACAGGCUAGCACAUUUUCAUAUUUCAUAGGUGAGACAGGGAACAGGCGCAAGCGAAGAAGUGCAGGUAGGCAGGCAGGAUGCUGAACCCAACCAUGCUAACCUGAAGCUCAUUGCAGUGCAGCAGAAUUUAUCAUUAUAAACAACUUAAUUAUUUCCUGGAUUUUGUAUCACCAUAGUCCCUAACUGUAUGUAAAUGGAGGAAAUGGGAUUCAAAUCGAAAACAUUUUUCCCCAUUUUGUGUCCCCCCCACUUCUCAAACCAAAGUUACACCCUUGGCGAGCCCUAUUACUUCAAAGCGGAAGUACGUCACGAGUCUACAUGCAAGUAGUCCAUUACUCUUUGGCUCCCUUUGCAGGCAUUUGUAAUAACAUGAAAUGUACAUAAAUUGUUUAUUUUGUAUUAGCCUACAUUAUGUAUUUUAACAGUGUUAUUAACCAAUCAUUAUUGCCUCGUUGUUUUUUAUAUAAUGCAUUUUAAGUCAUUUUAAAGGCUAUUGAUGGCUUAGGUCUGUUCUUAAAGCAACAACAACAACAACAACAACAACAAAAGUAUAUUAAUACUUCUUUGUAAAUUAUUAUUUGAAGUAACAAAACCAUGGUUAAUUUGCAGUUACCACGGCUACAAGAACGAUGAUUUUUGGUGUUAUUGUUAAAACCAUACAUAAAUUUUCGUAAGGGAACCUGGUAAAUCUGAACUAC